GACGAACGCUGGCGGCGCGCUUAACACAUGCAAGUCGAGCGAAGCGGCGGCCGGGUGAGUAACACGUGAGUACCCUGCCUUAGACAUUGGGAUAGCCUCGGGAAACCGUGAUUAUUACCACAUGGUCUAAGAUGGACUCGCGUCCCUUUAGCUAGUUGGUGAGGUAACGGCUCACCAAGGCGACGAUGGGUAGCCGGCCUGAGAGGGGGAACGGCGACAUUGGAACUGAGAAGCGGUCCAAACUCUACGGGAUGCAGCAGUGGCGAAUAUUGCACAAUGGAGGGAACUCUGAUGGAGCGACGACGCGUAAACGAAGAAGGCUUUCGAGUCGUAAAGUUCUUUUAUAUGGGAAGCGGUACCAUAAGAAAAAGCCCCGGCUAACUACGUGCCAGCAGCCGCGGUAAUUC
rnacentral:rRNA from 1 species